rnacentral:rRNA from 1 species
AUGACUAGAGACAACCUGAGGAAAAGACAUAUAAUCAAACCACUUGAUUGUGUUUUCUGUGCUGAACAAGAAAACCACCAUUUAUUUUUUGACUGUGUUGUAGCCAGGAAUAUUUGGUCGUUUGUCAAUCUCUUUUUCCAAAAGGACUUGGGUACAAACUUUGAAUCUGUGGCCCGAUUUUGGAUCUCUAAUAAAAAGAAUUUAGCUUCAAACAGUUAUUCGGCUGUCCUUUGGUGUUUAUGGAAAUAUAGGAACUCUAUGAUUUUUAAUAACACCAUUUGGACGUCUAUUAAUCAGGUGUGGAGACCGAUACACAGGAUGCUCAAGUCCUGGGUGGUUCUGACCCCAGAAGCAAGCAAAAGCCGAGUGGAAGAGUUCCUGAGUGCGCUGGCGAAGCUAAUCCAGCAACCCUUGAUGAUCUCAUAUGGCUGA